rnacentral:rRNA from 1 species
UACGUAGGGAGCAAGCGUUGUUCGGAUUUACUGGGCGUAAAGGGCGCGUAGGCGGCGCGGUAAGUCACUUGUGAAAUCUCUGAGCUUAACUCAGAACGGCCAAGUGAUACUGCAGUGCUAGAGUGCAGAAGGGGCAAUCGGAAUUCUUGGUGUAGCGGUGAAAUGCGUAGAUAUCAAGAGGAACACCUGAGGUGAAGACGGGUUGCUGGGCUGACACUGACGCUGAGUGCGCGAAAACCAGGGGAGCAAACGGG